rnacentral:ncRNA from 1 species
UGCCAAGUUAAAACAAAGCGUCAGCGAUACUGUGAAUGCACACACAUUGAUUUUGACCAAUGUUCUGAAUGUUAAUGUGAAGCUAUUUAAACAAGCAUCGGUAAAUGGUGGAAUAUUUAACCAUGACUCUUUUGUAGUACCUAAGUGCCUCCCCAUCUAGUUUGUGACUCACAUGGAUGGGUUA